UGCAAAGGAGCCUAACACACCACCCUUCUCUGUAUAAAACGUGGACUGUUUGUCUCAUAGUCAGUUGGAGUAGAGAAGAGCAGCUCCCACCAGUUCAGCUUCAGCACAAACCAUGUUCUCUGCAUCUCUGCUGCUGCUCCUGCUGGCAGCUGCCUCCUAUGUAUGGUGCGGCGGUCUUGAACUCAGCCAGCCAAGUUUAUUGGUUGUAAAGCCUGGAGAGUCUCUUGUAAGGUCUCUGGGUAUUCUGUUAGUGAUAGCAGCAUAAGCUUUGCCACAGGUCGGGUUCAAAAGCCUGCAGGGAAAGCAAUAGAGUGGAUUUCCCAUAUAUGGGAUAAUGGAGAUAUCUACAAAAUUGAUUCACUGAAAAACGUGUUCAGCAUUUCAAGAGAUGCCUACAGCAACUCUGUGUCUUUUAAAACGCAGAGCCUGCAACAAGACACAGCUACCCUCCACAGCUACCCUGUUCACUACCCUCCACAGCUACCCUGUUCGCUACCCUCCACAGCUACCCUGUUCUCUACCCUCCACAGUGAUACAAACCAAUACCAGACCUGAACAAUUACCCAGAUACCCAUGGGAGAAUGAUGCAAGCACAUUAUAAUAUAAAUGUAUCUCCACACCAAGAUAUCAACAUGUUUAAGAUUAAUGGUCAUUCUCAAAAACAGUUAAAUUAUAAUUUGGUAAAUUAACAUGACAAAAAUCAUAAAACCAUACAUCAUUAAAAGCUUUAAAUAAAUGUUAACCCAAAUAAAACUGAACUUUUGUUCCUUAUCUUCAACACAUUAUACUAAAGCCAUUAUAUACUCAACACGUCUCAUAAGUCAAAUCUGAACUACAGAGAGCAGAAUAAAGGACAGAGAGGAGAGAGAAUAAAGGAAUAGAGCAGAAGAUCUCUCCCACUCAGUCUGUAUUUAAACCUCUAGAGGGUGGUCUAUGCAAAGUCUCCCUCCCCUUCAUCCCUUUAUAAUCACACACUCAUCUCCGGCCUUCUCAUUAUAGGCAGCUUGGACUGACAUUACAAGUCCUGUACUAACUAAUACUGAACAAUGGAGCUUCUGACUGUCUGGAGUUUAGUUGUCAUGGUGAUGUCCAUACACAGUGUUUGCUGUGAUGAGAUGAAUCAGUCUCCUUCUCAGCUGAAAAGACCUGGAGACCCGUUUAAAUUGUCAUGUAAAAUCUCUGGGUUUGAUAUGACAGACUAUUUCAUGCACUGGAUAAGGCAGAAACCAGACAAAGCUCUGGAGUGGAUUGGGGGUAUUAACUCUGGUUCAACAAAUGCUCCAGACUACUCAGACUCCCUGAAAGGCCAGUUCACCCUGACUGAGGACCUCUCUACAAGCACACAGUUCUUAGAGGCCAAGAGUCUGAGUUCAGAGGACUCUGCUGUUUAUUAUUGUGCUCGAGAGACACACUGACUGAAGCUGUUGAAGCAGCUGUACAAAAACAACCCUAGCAAAAAGGCUAGCUGGUGUACCGCUUCCCCUCUUUGUGUCACACUAUAAUAAUGCUGAGUAUAAUUACUGUAAAUAAUACAUCAACAAUAUCACAAAGCACUACACAAUAAAAGACUCCAACCUCUAACAUUCAAACUUCAUAAAAAUCUGAUCUCUUGCCCAGUCUUUCUUCAAGUUUGAAAUGCUCUCUUUUUAUCAACAGGUGUUCAGGGUCAGACACUGACUGAGUCUGGACCACACAUACUGACCUGUACAGCCUCUGAUUUAGACAUGAAUAGCUACUGGAUGGCUUGGAUCAGACAGGCACCUGGGAAAGGACUGGAGUGGGUUGCAACUAUUACCCAUAACAGCAGAAGCAAUUUCUACCCCCAGUCUGUUCAGAGUCAGUUCACCAUCUCCAGAGACAACAGCAAGCAUCAGGUGUAUCUCCAGAUGAACAGACUGAAGACUGGAGACUCUGCUGUUUAUUAUUGUGCCAGAGACACAGUGACACAGGAGGCUGCAGGGCUUUACAACAACUGAUCAAGCACUAAACAUGUUUGUAACAAUUAUAAAGCACUGUACCUGCAAGAUUUAGGUAACAUUUUGCAAUUCUAAAGAAUAAUUUAAUAAUGUUAUAAUAUAUACUACUUUACAAAACAGUUAACUGAUGGUUAAAAUAUAUUUUAAUAUUCUAAGAAAUAAUAGAUAUUUGUAUGAUCACCUAUCCACAUACCAUCUGAAUGUGUUGCUGUCCUCAUACAGCAGGUGUGUGGUGCUGGUGGGAGGUUUUUGUUAUGGUUUGUGUCACUGUGACUAUAUGGGGGCCACAGUGAUAUUACAUCGUACAAAACCCCCUUUGUUCCUGUAUGGACACAUCAACACUGAACAGGUCAAAUUAACACCCUCCACAACAAUGGUGGUAAACCUAAUGAAACCUCACCAUAAACAGGAUUUUGGCCAUAGUCAUGUUAGUGGAUUUUAUACUGCAACACUUAAAUCCAUACAUUUGCAAACCACUGUUACAAACUGACAAUGGCACAAACAUGGAAGAUGAAAUCAACAACUGAUAGGUGAAUAUUAUAAUGUAAGAAUCUGUGGUAAUGCUAUACUAUAGUGUCUACCAUUUAUGUUUCUUACACCUCACUGAGAACAGACAGAGUCAUAUUGAAUCCCUAUGGAGAUGUGAAGGAGGUGUUUUUGUACUGGGGUACAUCUAACAUUUUUACAUUUGUAUUUUUUAUUCAGAAAUGAUUACUUGUGGGUUACCUUCAUGUGUGUGCAAAAUAUUACUGUUCUCAGUUUUUUUUAUUUAAUUUGUAUUUUAGAUGUGUAUGAAAAAAAUGUAGGCGGGGGCAAAACGAAAUAUAUUCCGUGAAUUACAUUUUCAUAUAAUAUAUAUUUGACUGUGUGGUUGUCUCACCUAGCUGUCUUAAGAUGAAUGCACUUACUGUAAGUCGCUCAAGAUAAGAGCAUCUGCUAAACAAGUAAGAUAUCAAAUGUUUUACAUACAGAUCUAAUAUUACUGUAUUGAAUUACAAAAAUAUAUAAUAUUAAUGUCAGAAAUGUAUCAUUUUUACAGUUCUUUAUUAAAAAUGUAGUUAUGAACUACUUAUUUCUCUGAGAGUGAGGCAGAUAUAUUGCAUUUAGCAAAAAAACAUGAUUAUUAGUCUCCUUAAUGAAACCAUCAACUUUAAACAAAUACAUGUACAGUAUGUCAUGAUUAAAUAGUGAAAACCACACAAUCUCUUUCAUAAUUUCUUUAAACACUAAAUGCUAAUUUACCAACAUUUCUGAAAAUGGAAAUAUAGCGUUUGGAAUGAAACUCUUCAAAUGUACUUUUAGAUACCAGACGAUGUAAUGUAAUGUAAACUAAAAUCAUUAAUGGACCAAGGAUAGAUCCUUGAGAAACAUCCUAAAUUAAACUAUGUUCUGAUUUA